rnacentral:rRNA from 1 species
CCCUUAGAUGUCCUGGGCCGCACGCGCGCUACACUGAUGCAUGCAACGAGUUUAUAACCUUGGCCUGAAAGGUCUGGGUAAUCUUUUGAACGUGCAUCGUGAUAGGGAUAGAUUAUUGCAAUUGUUAAUCUUGAACGAGGAAUUCCUAGUAAACGCGAGUCAUCAGCUCGCAUUGAUUACGUCCCUGCCCUUUGUACACACCGCCCGUCGCACCUACCGAUUGGAUGGUCCGGUGAAGCCUCGGGAUUGUGGUUCUUGCCGCUUUAUUGUGGCGUGACCGCGAGAACUUGUCUAAACCUUAUCAUCUAGAGGAAGGUGAAGUCGUAACA